UCUCUGUCUACAUUGUUUACAGAAACAGUCAUGAAUUUACGUGCCUGCGCGUAUCUAGCGUAUCUAUUUAAACAGAAGUCAGAGCAGCUUUUUACUCACACGCAUUUGGUUUCCUGAUGAAGAAGAAAGCUCUUAAAUCUUUGCUCUAUUGUGAUUUAGAUCCUAAUUAUCAGUUAAUUAUUUUAAACUUAUUUUUAUUUGAGUUAAUUUUUUGAAAAUCUCAUUGAUCCUUAACACUUGUAACCCUUAUUUGAAUUAAAUUGGUUUUGUUUUCAAUUGAAAAUAUGGAGACGAUGAAUAGUAAUCGGUGUAUGCCCAAUUUUCAACUCAAGUCGUCAAUGCACCUCGGCGAGGGGCCUCUGUGGUGCUCCUGAUGCGCCCCACAACACUGCAAAUAACAUCACCCUAAUCGAAAUAGAGGUGCGCAGUGGUGUGGGGAAUUUACAUUCUCCUUACCAGAUAAAUAACCUUGAGAAAGUGUUAAAGGAGACAGAAGAUCAUCCAGUUUGGUUGAAAUUUAUAUUCAACACUUUGGAUCAUGGCAGAAUUGCAUUGGAUUCUAUUUUAUGGUCUGGAAACCUCUACUUAGGAGCUAAGGCUAAUCUUAUUCAAAAAAUUUCCAAAGAGGAAUUUGUUAACCUUUUAGAGCUUGCGGAAGAGGAUCUCAAUUGUGACCAUGUUAUUCUUUGCAUACCCAAGAAGGAACCUGACAGAAACCUUAUAGUUCGUACCUUCAUGUACUUUGGUUUCACCUUAUUGGCACCCAAUAAUCAACUGAUACCUGCCGAUGCAAAUUCUGAUGACUUAUACAUGGCAACAAGCUUCAAUUAAUCUGAUUGAGCAAAUGAAACAAAAAUUAUUCACUUAAAAGAUAUCAAAAUAAUUUCUUCUGAUUCUCCUUACUUACACUUAUAUAUAUAAUUCAUUAUACUUUACAUUUUUUUCUUUCUACCACACACAUCAUUGUUAUCCUUCCAACUUAUGUUGAAAUUUGAUUAAACGAAUAAUUCAAUCGCCAAUUAUUAAUUAACAAUUCAAAUUGGAUAUUAGCUUGUAUUUUUCAAUUCUCAUACGUUGCUAUUGAAGACAAUUUUAGACAAGAAAAGCUCAGUCACAUGAUGAGAUUUAUACUGAUAUUUGGAAAGAUAAAGAUGAGUGUUGAAAAAAACAGGUCAUACUAUUAGAUACGAAGCUAACCAGUCAUGGUUAAUAAAGUGAUCUCAAUUAAUGGUAUUGAAUUGAAGUCCUCAAAAUGUGACGUGAUUAAGCUAAUCUUUGCAUAGUUGAAUGUCAUUUUGUAUUUUAUUGCAUUUAACUUUCACUUUAUAUGAAACUGUGAGAGUUGAAUCAAAAAUGGUAUUGGAAAUUAACCCAUAAAAUCGGUUAACAUGCGUAUCGAUCAACAAAGUGAUUUCGGUCCUUGUAUUAAAUAAAAGCAGCUAGAAUCUUUUCCAUUCGUCAUUUUGUAAUAAACGAACUAAAAAUAUGAAUCUUGAUUCACUUGUUUUUUCUUUUUCUUUUUCUUUCUCCUUCUCUUUCUAUGUUGGUGUGAAUGUACAUAUUGACAAGAAUGAUAAUCAUCAGUAAUCAAUGAUAACAAUAAAACUCAACGACAAAUGAGGUCGAUCAUGGAAAAUUCACAAUGAGGAUAAUGAUUCAGAUAUAAUGCGGAGAUUGGAAGAAGAAAGGAGAAAGGAGAAAAGAUGAUAAAGAGGUUAAUCAACAAAACAAAGCAACAAAGCAACAGAGAGGAAGAAGUAAACAAACUGAUUGAGGAAAGCUUACAAGUGGAAAGCAGACCAAUGAGCCAAUCAAAAAAUGUGCAAUGGUGUAGUUUGUUAAUAUUAGUGAACAAGAUAACCUAUGGUUUUAUCUUUUGCAGAGAGUGUUAUUCAAUUAUUUUUGUUUUAUUUGUGUGACAAUCAACCAACUAUCAACAAGAUGAUUGUAGUUUCAAUAGACAACAAAUUACAUCAAUUCGGUCAAGGAGAACCGAUAAGAAAGCUUACUAUAGUUUGCCCGAAGAAGCUAAAGUUAAAGUAAAAGCUGGUUGCAAAGCUGGUGUUAAAGCUGAUGAUGGUGAGGUGACAAAGAAGAAAAGGAAACCGUGGAUGAGGUUAGUUGUUACACGGUGAAUGGAAUCAGGUCUGGUUUCUGGUCGAUUCGAGAAUAAAGAUGGCUGUUGAACUUUCUGGAAAGCUGGCCCAAUUCAUGGAACCUUUGAGUUUAAACAUGCGACAAAUAUGGCGAUCACAAUCAUCCGAGAAUAAUAAUUUUCUAUGGAAUACUCCAAGCUCUGAUUAUUUCUUCAACUCAUGCCGUUGUCUGUGAAGUUACGGGAUCAUUGAGUAUAUCAUUAUUAGCCUCAUGACAUUUGGUUAGUCCUAUGGUCCAUGAUAAUGGAUCAAUGAAGAUG